rnacentral:rRNA from 1 species
CGAUGGAGGGGGAUAACUACUGGAAACGGUAGCUAAUACCGCAUAACGUCGCAAGACCAAAGAGGGGGACCAUCGGGCCUCUUGCCAUCGGAUGUGCCCAGAUGGGAUUAGCUAGUAGGUGGGGUAAAGGCUCACCUAGGCGACGAUCCCUAGCUGGUCUGAGAGGAUGACCAGCCACACUGGAACUGAGACACGGUCCAG